AUUGAACGCUGGCGGCAGGCCUAACACAUGCAAGUCGAGCGAGCGGCGGACGGGUGAGUAAUGUAUGGGGACUGCCCGAUAGAGGGGGAUAACUACUGGAAACGGUGGCUAAUACCGCAUACUAUCGGAUAACCCAGAUGGGAUUAGCUAGUAGGUGGGGUAAAGGCUCACCUAGGCGACGAUCUCUAGCUGGUCUGAGAGGAUGAUCAGCCACACUGGAACUGAGACACGGCCCAGACUCCUACGGAGGCAGCAGUGGGGAAUAUUGCACAAUGGGCGCAAGCCUGAUGCAGCCAUGCCGCGUGAGUGAAGAAGGUUUUCGGAUUGUAAAGCUCUUUUGUUAGGGAAGCGGUAUCCAACGAAGAAGCCACGGCUAACUCCGUGCCAGCAGCCGCGGUAAUAC
rnacentral:rRNA from 1 species